rnacentral:sRNA from 1 species
CAAGUAAGUAGGCAUGCUGAAAACACGACGUCCUUUCGUAACGCAUGCAUGAUCUACUUCGUGUGGA